rnacentral:rRNA from 1 species
GACGAACGCUGGCGGCGUGCUUAACACAUGCAAGUCGAACGGAAAGGCCCUGCUUUUGUGGGGUGCUCGAGUGGCGAACGGGCGAGUAACACGUGAGUAACCUGCCCCUGACUAUGGGAUAACUUCAGGAAACUGGGGCUAAUACCGGAUAGGAGCUCCUGCUGCAUGGUGGGGGUGGGAAAGUUUCGGCGGUUGGGGAUGGACUCGCGGCUUAUCAGCUUGUUGGUGGGGUAGUGGCUUACCAAGGCUUUGACGGGUAGCCGGCCUGAGAGGGUGACCGGCCACCUUGGGCCUGCGAGACGGCCCAGACUCCUACGGGAGGCAGCAGUGGGGAAUAUUGCACAGUGGGCGGAAGCCUGAUGCGGCAACGCCGCGUGCGGGAUGACGGCCUUCGGGUUGUAAACCGCUUUCGCCUGUGACGAAGCGUGAGUGACGGUAAUGGGUAAAGAAGCACCGGCUAACUACGUG